rnacentral:misc_RNA from 1 species
UACUGGCAGGAUCAACCAGGCGACAGUGAAGAACAAGUAUCCUCUUCCUCGGAUCGACGAGUUCUUCGACCAGCUUCAGGGUGCGCAGUACUUUUCAAAGAUUGACUCGAGGUCAGGAUACCAUCAGCUGCGAGUCAGAGAGCAAGAUGUGCAGAGGGCAGCGUUUCGUGCUCGCUACGGGCACUAUGAGUUCCUUGUCAUGCCGUUCGGGUUGACGAAUGCGCCAGCAGUGUUCAUGGCUCUGAUGAACAAGAUCUUCGCUCAGCAGCUCGACAGCUUUACAGUGGUGUUCAUCGACGAUGUCUUGGUCUACUCAAAGUCCAGAGAGGAGCAUGAGCAGCAUUUAAGGACAUCUCUACAAUUGUUGCGCGACAACCAGUUGUAUGCGAAGCUCAGCA